rnacentral:rRNA from 1 species
GAUGAACGCUGGCGGCGUGCCUAAUACAUGCGAGUCGAGCGAACGGACGAGAAGCUUGCUUCUCUGAUGUUAGCGGCGGACGGGUGAGUAACACGUGGAUAACCUACCUAUAAGACUGGGAUAACUUCGGGAAACCGGAGCUAAUACCGGAUGAUAUUUUGAACCGCAUGGUUCAAAAGUGAAAGACGGUCUUGCUGUCACUUAUAGAUGGAUCCGCGCUGCAUUAGCUAGUUGGUAAGGUAACGGCUUACCAAGGCAACGAUGCAUAGCCGACCUGAGAGGGUGAUCGGCCACACUGGAACUGAGACACGGUCCAGACUCCUACGGGAGGCAGCAGUAGGGAAUCUUCCGCAAUGGGCGAAAGCCUGACGGAGCAACGCCGCGUGAGUGAUGAAGGUCUUCGGAUCGUAAAACUCUGUUAUUAGGGAAGAACAUAUGUGCAAGUAACUGUGCACAUCUUGACGGUACCUAAUCAGAAAGCCACGGCUAACUACGUG